GGGAGCGACCAUAGCUCACAGAGAAUUGGGCAUCCCGUCCGCUCUGCCAUACACAAGCUUGAGAUCGGUGGAUUAGUAGUUGGGUGGGUGACCACCAGCGAAUACCCACUGUUGUAUGUU
rfam:Pseudogymnoascus pannorum VKM F-4516 (FW-969) contig_29, whole genome shotgun sequence.